UUGUGCUGGGUCGAGCAAAAAUGCUCAUCAUGUGGCCGGGGAUGAAGCCUCGAGGCGAUUGACCGAAGCCAUGUCCUCUUCUGUUUCCAAAAACCUCCCAACCCCUAUUACCACUUUCCUCUGCUGAUGGAAGGAGAGCUCGGCCCUGGUUUUCAUUCAAUUCCUUUCUCCUUGGUUCUCAAAAGAGGCAUUCUAGGGUUUGAAAGGUCUAUCUCCUCUGCUAUGAAUCCCGAAUAAAAAAUCAGGAUAAAAGAGCAAAGUCCAAACAAGGUUGCAUCAUCAAAGAAGGAAAUGAGGUUAUCUUGAAGAGUUCAAGAUGGCCACACAAAAUUGAGAUGAUAUGCAGAAUGCUUAUAAGUAAAAAUCCAUCUAAGAUAGUGGGUAAUAUUAUUCUAGAGAUCAAAUUUUGAGAGAUUUAUAUUGAUUUUGUAAGAGUGAGAAGUGAAUCAUUGGUCCAGAUUGAUGGACUUUAGCAAGUUAUUGGUGAUGCUAUUGAUUCAACAAUUACAUGGCCUUCUACUUUUAUUAAACUUGCCAGAUGCAAAGCUCCUAAUCAUUAUGUACAUGGUCCUUUUCUUUUACUUUGUCUACUUGGGAUAAUAGGUUCUUUUAUCAAAAUCUUAAAGGAUAUGUCUAUAAUUUUAUUCAAAAAAUUUAUACUUUUAUCACUGUUAGUUUUGUUAUAUGAAAAGCUCUUCUUGUUGUAAACUUUUAUUUGCUUUAUGAAGUUGUAGCUAGGUCUAAUUAUUUUGUGAAAGUUGAAUUCAAAAUAUUGAUUAAUUACUUAUUUUUAGUAUAUUAGGUGUUUUAAGAUACAACCGAAAAGAGAAAUACUAUGCAUGUUCGUAUUCAAGUUAUUAGAAUUAUAUAUUUUUUAAAAAAUAAUAUAUAACAUAUUGUCAGCGAUCAUAUUUGUUGUUAAAAAGCUAUUGCCGGGGGUCAUAUUUGUUGUUAAAUGUGUACUACCAAUGAUCAAAAUGCUACUAAACACUUCUAGCGGUUACAAAUGAUCGCUGGAAAAGAUUUCUAAAUCUUUGCCGAGCAAUUUUAACCAUCGAAAUAUAUUUUAUUUUUUCCAACAGUCAACAUCGA